CCGCUGGACGACAAGACAAAGGCCGCGAUCGCGAGUGUCCCUCACUGCGCCUGCGCCGAUAGGCGCCGAACUACAUCUCCCAAAGGGCCAAGCGCUCACCAGCGGUUAUUCCGGGGCGGGCUUCCGCACCGUCCGAAUCUGUCGAUCCGCAGCUGCAAGGAUCGGUCAGCCAACCGGUUGGGUCUCCGCGCCCUGCCUCCACUCACCGUUAAAGGGCCGCACAACGUCCGCGGCCACUCUCAACCUGGGCGUGUCCAAGUACAACUCUGAGAAGGUGGCGCGCGCUUUCAGUCGUUUCGGUGCUCGCCUCGCUUCUGCCCGGUGCCGAGGUUGCUGGAUCAGGAUCCGAGCUUGGCCUCGCAGACCCCUGCUGGGUAUUGCCUCGCCUUUCCACCUGAAAACCAUCACGGUAGUUCUUGGAACUUCAGGAUGAAGGCCGCGUCCACCACCGCCCACCUUGCCGCGGGAGCGCCUGCGCUGGAGGUGCCGAACUACAACACCCUGAGGGCUACGUUCGGGAUCCUUGCACAGAGGCCUGAGACCGUUGGUUCAUUCUUGAAGACAGAAAAGGACGGGCCUGGGUCAGCCACGACACACUUCAUUACCCACUCAAUAAACAAAAACAGCCGUACAUGAAUAUAACAUUUAA